UACGUAGGGGGCAAGCGUUGUCCGGAAUUAUUGGGCGUAAAGGGCUCGUAGGCGGUUUGUCGCGUCGGGAGUGAAAAUCCAGGGCUCAACCCUGGAGCCUGCAGUGGGUACGGGCAGACUAGAGUGCGGUAGGGGAGAUCGGAAUUCCGUGGUGUAGGCGGUGAAAUGCGCAGAUAUCAGGAGGAACACCGGUGGCGAAGGCGGGUCUCUGGGCCGAUACUGACGCUGAGGAGCGAAAGCGUGGGUAGCAAACAGG
rnacentral:rRNA from 1 species